AGAGUUUGAUCCUGGCUCAGGACGAACGCUGGCGGCGUGCCUAAUACAUGCAAGUCGAGCGGAGUUGUUUUGGAAGCUUGCUUUCAAAACAACUUAGCGGCGGACGGGUGAGUAACACGUAGGCAACCUGCCCCUUAGACUGGGAUAACUACCGGAAACGGUAGCUAAUACCGGAUAAUUCCUUUCUUCUCCUGAAGAAAGGAUGAAAGGCGGAGCAAUCUGCUACUAAGGGAUGGGCCUGCGGCGCAUUAGCUAGUUGGUGGGGUAACGGCCCACCAAGGCGACGAUGCGUAGCCGACCUGAGAGGGUGAACGGCCACACUGGGACUGAGACACGGCCCAGACUCCUACGGGAGGCAGCAGUAGGGAAUCUUCCGCAAUGGGCGAAAGCCUGACGGAGCAACGCCGCGUGAGUGAUGAAGGUUUUCGGAUCGUAAAGCUCUGUUGCCAGGGAAGAACGUCCGGUAGAGUAACUGCUACCGGAGUGACGG
rnacentral:rRNA from 1 species